rnacentral:rRNA from 1 species
GACGAACGCUGGCGGCGUGCCUAAUACAUGCAAGUCGAACGCUGAAGAGAGGAGCUUGCUCUUCUUGGAUGAGUUGCGAACGGGUGAGUAACGCGUAGGUAACCUGCCUGGUAGCGGGGGAUAACUAUUGGAAACGAUAGCUAAUACCGCAUAAAAUGGAUUAUCGCAUGAUAAUCCAUUGAAAGGUGCAAAUGCAUCACUACCAGAUGGACCUGCGUUGUAUUAGCUAGUUGGUGGGGUAACGGCUCACCAAGGCGACGAUACAUAGCCGACCUGAGAGGGUGAUCGGCCACACUGGGACUGAGACACGGCCCAGACUCCUACGGGAGGCAGCAGUAGGGAAUCUUCGGCAAUGGACGGAAGUCUGACCGAGCAACGCCGCGUGAGUGAAGAAGGGUGUCGGAUCGUAAAGCUCUGUUGUAAGAGAAGAACGAGUGUGAGAGUGGAAAGUUCACACUGUGACGGUAUCUUACCAGAAAGGGACGGCUAACUACGUG